UGCGUAGGCGGUUCGUUAAGUUAGAUGUGAAAACUCUGGGCUCAACCCAGAGCCUGCAUCUAAAACUGGCGGGCUAGAGUUCUGGAGGGGGUAGCGGAAUUCCUGGUGUAGCGGUGAAAUGCGUAGAUAUCAGGAGGAACACCGGUGGCGAAGGCGGCUACCUGGACAGAAACUGACGCUGAGGCACGAAAGCUAGGGGAGCAAACA
rnacentral:rRNA from 1 species